rnacentral:piRNA from 1 species
UGUGAUGAGGAUAUGGAGAUGCACAG